UACGUAGGGUGCGAGCGUUGUCCGGAAUUAUUGGGCGUAAAGAGCUCGUAGGCGGUGUGUCGCGUCGGUCGUGAAAACUUGGGGCUUAACCCUGAGCGUGCGGUCGAUACGGGCAUCACUUGAGUUCGGCAGGGGAGACUGGAAUUCCUGGUGUAGCGGUGAAAUGCGCAGAUAUCAGGAGGAACACCGGUGGCGAAGGCGGGUCUCUGGGCCGAUACUGACGCUGAGGAGCGAAAGCGUGGGGAGCGAACAGG
rnacentral:rRNA from 1 species